AUUGAACGCUGGCGGCAGGCCUAACACAUGCAAGUCGAACGAGUGGCGGACGGGUGAGUAAUGUCUGGGAAACUGCCCGAUGGAGGGGGAUAACUACUGGAAACGGUAGCUAAUACCGCAUACCAUCGGAUGUGCCCAGAUGGGAUUAGCUAGUGGGGGGGGUAACGGCUCACUUAGGCGACGAUCCCUAGCUGGGCGGAGAGGAUGACCAUCCAGACUGGAACUGAGACCGGGUCCAGACCCCUACGGGUGGAAGCAGUGGGGAAUAUUGCACAAUGGGCGCAAGCCUGAUGCAGCCAAGCCGCGUGUAUGAAGAAGGACUUCGGGUUGUAAAGUACUUUCAGCGAGGAGGCGUUACUCGCAGAAGAAGCACCGGCUAACUCCGUGCCAGCAGCCGCGGUAAUUC
rnacentral:rRNA from 1 species